rnacentral:rRNA from 1 species
AACGAACGCUGUCGGCAUGCCUAACACAUGCAAGUCGAACGAUCCCUUCGGGGAUAGUGGCGCACGGGUGCGUAACGCGUGGGAACCUGCCCUUAGGUUCGGAAUAACUCAGAGAAAUUUGAGCUAAUACCGGAUAAUGUCUUCGGACCAAAGAUUUAUCGCCUUUGGAUGGGCCCGCGUUGGAUUAGCUAGUUGGUGGGGUAAAGGCCUACCAAGGCGACGAUCCAUAGCUGGUCUGAGAGGAUGAUCAGCCACACUGGGACUGAGACACGGCCCAGACUCCUACGGGAGGCAGCAGUGGGGAAUAUUGGACAAUGGGCGAAAGCCUGAUCCAGCAAUGCCGCGUGAGUGAUGAAGGCCUUAGGGUUGUAAAGCUCUUUUACCCGGGAUGAUAAUGACAGUACCGGGAGAAUAAGCCCCGGCUAACUCCGUG